rnacentral:rRNA from 1 species
UACGUAUGGUGCGAACGUUGUUCGGAAUCAUUGGGCAUAAAGAGCACGUAGGCGGUUAAGCAAGUCCAUUGUGAAAUCCCCCGGCCUAACCGGGGAACUGCAUUGGAUACUACUUGACUUGAGUGCAGGAGGGGAGAGUGGAAUUCCAGGUGGAGCGGUGAAAUGCGUAGAUAUCUGGAGGAACGCCGGCGGCGAAAGCGACUCUCUGGUCUGUAACUGACGCUGAGGUGCGAAAGCUAGGGGAGCAAACGGG